UACGUAGGUCCCGAGCGUUGUCCGGAUUUAUUGAGCGUAAAGCGAGCGCAGGUGGUUUAUUAAGUCUGGUGUAAAAGGCAGUGGCUCAACCAUUGUAUGCAUUGGAAACUGGUAGACUUGAGUGCAGGAGAGGAGAAUGGAAUUCCUAGUGUAGCGGUGAAAUGCGUAGAGAUUAGGAAGAACACCAGUGGCGAAGGCGAUUCUCUGGACUGUAACUGACGCUGAGGCUCGAAAGCGUGGGGAGCAAACAGG
rnacentral:rRNA from 1 species